rnacentral:sRNA from 1 species
GACCCUUCCCGAUGGGGAUGCAAGGCCGAACGGACAGCCGGGUCAAAUGCCGA